UACGUAGGUGGCAAGCGUUGUCCGGAUUUACUGGGCGUAAAGAGCGCGCAGGCGGUCGAUCAAGUCGCGUGUGAAAGCCCCCGGCUCAACUGGGGAGGGUCACGCGAUACUGAUCGACUCGAAGGCAGGAGAGGGUAGUGGAAUUCCCGGUGUAGUGGUGAAAUGCGUAGAUAUCGGGAGGAAUACCAGUGGCGAAGGCGACUACCUGGCCUGUUCUUGACGCUGAGGCGCGAAAGCUAGGGGAGCAAACGGG
rnacentral:rRNA from 1 species